CUGUUUGUGACAUUAAAUUAGAUUUUAACAGUAGUACUAGGAUCGUUUAUGAGGAGUUUAAUGACAUUUAACAACGUGCUAAUCCCCGAUCACAUCUACGUUUUAUUCCAACGUGAAAAUCUCCUCUAUUCGGUGACUACAACCUACGAACCAUCAACAGAACACAACACACUUACAGCCAUGAUCGUCAUACAGGCACUCGUUGUUCGUAUGCUAAACACGGAUACGAGAUGACAUAACCGGAGUACCCAGUAGCAACUAACUGGUCCUGAUAUCUAAUAAGGAAGUCGCAUGAUAGCGAAAGAGUUCAGUUGAGUUCGUUGUUAAGUACACCGAGCGAGUUAGCCAGUCUCUCGACUUGCCCCGCUCCGACCUCCGCAGUCACUCCCGCAUGCCGCCGCGGCCGGUCUCGUUCCACAGGUUGUUUACCAAACAUUCAAUUUUACUACGGGUCCCAAGUCCUGUACACACUAAAGAGAACUGUAUCCACGAGGAAGUAACGGCGACGGUAUACGGUCUCGGCCGUUACUUGAGGACCAUUCCGAAACAACUGGGUUGAACAAUGACAUACGUAAACCACAGCACAUCAUAGUAUACAUUCGAAGAAAAGAGGGGAGAUCCUG
rnacentral:rRNA from 1 species